GGAUGAACGCUGGCGGCGUGCCUAAUACAUGCAAGUCGAGCGAACAGACGAGGAGCUUGCUCCUCUGACGUUAGCGGCGGACGGGUGAGUAACACGUGGAUAACCUACCUAUAAGACUGGGAUAACUUCGGGAAACCGGAGCUAAUACCGGAUAAUAUAUUGAACCGCAUGGUUCAAUAGUGAAAGACGGUUUUGCUGUCACCUAUAGAUGGAUCCGCGCCGCAUUAGCUAGUUGGUAAGGUAACGGCUUACCAAGGCAACGAUGCGUAGCCGACCUGAGAGGGUGAUCGGCCACACUGGAACUGAGACACGGUCCAGACUCCUACGGGAGGCAGCAGUAGGGAAUCUUCCGCAAUGGGCGAAAGCCUGACGGAGCAACGCCGCGUGAGUGAUGAAGGUCUUCGGAUCGUAAAACUCUGUUAUUAGGGAAGAACAAAUGUGUAAGUAACUAUGCACGUCUUGACGGUACCUAAUCAGAAAGCCACGGCUAACUACGUG
rnacentral:rRNA from 1 species